rnacentral:rRNA from 1 species
UACGAAGGGGGCUAGCGUUGUUCGGAUUUACUGGGCGUAAAGCGCGUGUAGGCGGAAGCGAAAGUCCGGUGUGAAAGCCCCCCGCUCAACGGGGGAAGGUCGCUGGAAACUGCGCUUCUUGAGGGCGGCAGAGGGAAGUGGAAUUGCUGGUGUAGCGGUGAAAUGCGUAGAGAUCAGCAGGAACACCCGUGGCGAAGGCGGCUUCCUGGGCCGCGCCUGACGCUGAGACGCGAAAGCGUGGGGAGCGAACGGGGAUUGAGAAACCCCAGU